GAUUAACGCUGGCGGCGUGCAUAACACAUGCAAGUCGAACGAUGAAACUCAUUAGAUUUCUUCGGAAUGAAACUGAAUGGAUUAGUGGCGAACGGGUGAGUAACGCGUGAGUAACCUGCCUUACACAAGGGGAUAGCCUCUGGAAACGGAGAAUAAUACCCUAUGAAACCAGACAAUCGCAUGAUAAUCUGGUCAAAAUGUUUAGUGGUGUAAGAUGGACUUGCGUCUGAUUAGCUAGUUGGUGAGAUAAAAGCUCACCAAGGCAACGAUCAGUAGCCGGCUUGAGAGAGUGUACGGCCACAUGGGGACUGAGACACGGCCCAGACUCCUACGGGAGGCAGCAGUGGGGAAUGUUGCACAAUGGGGGAAACCCUGAUGCAGCGACGCCGCGUGAUUUAGAAGGCCUUCGGGUUGUAAAAAUCUUUUGUAUAGGAAGAAAAUGACAGUACUAUACGAAUAAGGUCCGGCUAAUUACGU
rnacentral:rRNA from 1 species